UAGGUUAUGUUACUUAUUGAUUUAAUUAAUUAAUAUAUAAUAAAAAAUUUAAUUUAGAUGAUGAUAAAAUUCAAGAAGGAUAUACAUGCAAAUCAGCUGAUGUACAUGUAGGUUACAUGAAAGAAGGUGAAGAGCGCUUGAAGUAUGCACCGGAUGUUUGUGGGAAGGUUAAAUGUGAUGAAGGAAUUAUAUCUUAUACAACUUGUGCAGAACUGUUAUCGAGUAAAGGUUGCUAUUACAUAGAUCCAGUCCAUAAUACAACCUUUCCGGGGUGUUGUGGAAGCAUGAAUUGUCAAACUGUUUAAAUAUGGAUGUAAUAAUUAUAAUAUACAUCUGAAUUUCAA